UACGUAGGGUGCAAGCGUUAAUCGGAAUUACUGGGCGUAAAGCGUGCGCAGGCGGCUUUGCAAGACAGAUGUGAAAUCCCCGGGCUCAACCUGGGAACUGCAUUUGUGACUGCAAGGCUGGAGUACGGCAGAGGGGGAUGGAAUUCCGCGUGUAGCAGUGAAAUGCGUAGAUAUGCGGAGGAGCACCGAUGGCGAAGGCAAUCCCCUGGGCCUGUACUGACGCUCAUGCACGAAAGCGUGGGGAGCAAACAGG
rnacentral:rRNA from 1 species